rnacentral:rRNA from 1 species
UGUCCCAGCAGCCGCGGUAAUACGUAGGGGGCAAGCGUUGUCCGGAAUUACUGGGCGUAAAGGGCGUGUAGGCGGCACUUUAAGUCAGAUGUGAAAGUCCACGGCUCAACCGUGGAAUUGCAUUUGAAACUGGAGUGCUUGAGUGCGGGAGAGGAGAGCGGAAUUCCUAGUGUAGCGGUGAAAUGCGUAGAUAUUAGGAAGAACACCAGUGGCGAAGGCGGCUCUCUGGACUGUAACUGACGCUGAGGCGCGAAAGCGUGGGUAGCGAACAGGAUUAGAUACCCUGGUAGUCCACGCCGUAAACGAUGAGUGCUAGGUGUUGGGGAACCUCAGUGCCGCAGCUAACGCAUUAAGCACUCCGCCUGGGGAGUACGACCGCAAGGUUGAAACUCAAAGGAAUUGACGGGGGCCCGCACAAGCAGCGGAGCAUGUGGUUUAAUUCGAAGCAACGCGAAGAACCUUACCAGGACUUGACAUCCCUUGACCACCGUAGAGAUACGGCCUUCCCUUCGGGGACAAGGUGACAGGUGGUGCAUGGUUGUCGUCAGCUCGUGUCGUGAGAUGUUGGGUUAAGUCCCGCAACGAGCGCAACCCUUGUAUUUAGUUGCCAUCAGGUUAAGCUGGGCACUCUAGAUAGACUGCCGUAGAGAAUACGGAGGAAGGUGGGGAUGACGUCAAAUCAUCAUGCCCCUUAUGUCCUGGGCUACACACGUGCUACAAUGGUCUGUACAGAGGGAAGCGAAGGAGCGAUCUGGAGCCAAUCCCACAAAGCAGAUCCCAGUUCGGAUUGCAGGCUGCAACUCGCCUGCAUGAAGUCGGAGUUGCUAGUAAUCGCGGAUCAGAACGCCGCGGUGAAUGCGUUCCCGGGCCUUGUACACACCGCCCGUCACACCACGAGAGUUGGCAACACCCGAAGUCAGUGAGCUAACCCUUUUAGGGAGGCAGCUGCCGAAGGUGGGGCUAGUGAUUGGGGUGAAGUCGUAACAAGGUAACCA